CCUACGGGAGGCAGCAGUGAGGAAUAUUGGUCAAUGGGAGAGAUCCUGAACUAGCCAAGCCGCGUGAGGGAAGACGGCCCUAUGGGUUGUAAACCUCUUUUGUCGGGGAGCAAAAAGCGGUACGUGUACCGCAUCGAGAGUACCCGGAGAAAAAGCAUCGGCUAACUCCGUGCCAGCAGCCGCGGUAAUACGGAGGAUGCGAGCGUUAUCGGGAUUUAUUGGGUUUAAGGGGUGCGCAGGCGGCGAGUUAAGUCAGCGGUAAAAUUUCGGGGCUCAACCCCGACGAUCCGUUGAAACUGGCUUGCUAGAGUGGGCGAGAAGUAUGCGGAUUGCGUGGUGUAGCGGUGAAAUGCAUAGAUAGCACGCAGAACUCCGAUUGCGAAGGCAGCAUACCGGCGCCCAACUGACGCUCAGGCACGAAAGCGUGGGUAUCGAACAGGAUUAGAUACCCGAGUAGUC
rnacentral:rRNA from 1 species